CCUACGGGCGGCUGCAGUGGGGAAUAUUGGACAAUGGGGGGAACCCUGAUCCAGCCAUGCCGCGUGUGUGAAGAAGGCCCUCGGGUUGUAAAGCACUUUCAGUGAGGAAGAACGCCUGGUGGUUAAUACCCAUCAGGAAAGACAUCACUCACAGAAGAAGCACCGGCUAACUCCGUGCCAGCAGCCGCGGUAAUACGGAGGGUGCGAGCGUUAAUCGGAAUUACUGGGCGUAAAGCGCGCGUAGGUGGCUUGAUAAGCCGGUUGUGAAAGCCCCGGGCUCAACCUGGGAACGGCAUCCGGAACUGUCAAGCUAGAGUGCAGGAGAGGAAGGUAGAACUCCCGGUGUAGCGGUGAAAUGCGUAGAGAUCGGGAGGAAUACCAGUGGCGAAGGCGGCCUUCUGGACUGACACUGACACUGAGGUGCGAAAGCGUGGGUAGCAAACAGGAUUAGAUACCCUGGUAGUC
rnacentral:rRNA from 1 species